rnacentral:lncRNA from 1 species
UGGGCCGCUGGUAGUGGGCCGUGGAUGCGCACAGUGCAUAGAGUGUGCGGGCCGGCAUUGCACAGUGGGCCGAAGUGGCCGAAUUGCACCGUUUUUAUUUUUUUUGUUUUCUAGAAAUAGUUUUAAUUCAUUUUUGAAUGAACUUGAAUAGUUUUUCCUGUUGAUCUCUGUAUAAUUGUUGUCCAAAGAUAAUUUUGUUAAGAUAAUAGUAAAAUUUAUAUAGUUUCUGGAAAAUAGAAUUAAAAGUUUAUUAAAGUUCUCUAUUGUGUACUUACAGUUGUUUAUUUUUCAUUAUUAAAUUUGAACCAAUGAGAGAGUUUAAUUUUGAAAAAUAGAUAAAAUUAUAGAGUAUUAUAAUUUUAUUAUUAUUCUGACUAAUGUUGAUUAAUAGCAAUAUUAUGAUGUUAUCAUGGUUAUUUGUUAUACAUUAAUUCUAUUUCUGCCCAAAGGUGAUGUAGAAUUCAUGUA